CACGUAGGCGGGUCGUUAAGUCAGGGGUGAAAUCCCAGAGCUCAACUCUGGAACUGCCUUUGAUACUGGCGACCUAGAGUCCGGAAGAGGUUAGUGGAAUUCCCAGUGUAGAGGUGAAAUUCGUAGAUAUUGGGAAGAACACCAGUGGCGAAGGCGGCUAACUGGUCCGGUACUGACGCUGAGGUGCGAAAGCGUGGGGAGAAC
rnacentral:rRNA from 1 species